AACCAUAGAAACCUGCGGAGUACCUGCGGAGGGAUCAUUACUGAGUGCGGGUUCCAAUGAGCCCAACCUCCCACCCGUGUUUACCGUAACCGCGUUGCCUCGGCGGGCCCACUGGGGCCUGUCCCCGGUCGCCGGGGGGCAUCUGCCCCCGGGCCCGCGCCCGCCGAAGCGCCCUAGAACCCUGCCUGAACAGUGAGUCUGAGUGAGUGAUUGAAUCAUUAAAACUUUUAACAAUGGAUC
rnacentral:misc_RNA from 1 species